rnacentral:tRNA from 1 species
GCGCUCAUAGCUCAAUGGAUAGAGCAACGGCCUGCGAAGCCGCAGAUUCGGGUUCGAUUCCCGAUGAGCGCA